GACGAACGCUGGCGGCGUGCUUAACACAUGCAAGUCGAACGGAAAGGCCCUGCUUUUGUGGGGUGCUCGAGUGGCGAACGGGGGAGUAACACGUGAGUAACCUGCCCUUGACUUUGGGAUAACUUCAGGAAAGUGGGGCUAAUACCGGAUAGGAGCUCCUGCUGCAUGGUGGGGGUUGGAAAGUUUCGGCGGUUGGGGAUGGACUCGCGGCUUAUCAGCUUGUUGGUGGGGUAGUGGCUUACCAAGGCUUUGACGGGUAGCCGGCCUGAGAGGGUGACCGGCCACCUUGGGCCUGCGAUACGGCCCAGACUCCUACGGUAGGCAGCAGUGGGGAAUCUUGCACAAUGGGAGGAAGCCUGAUGCAGCAACGCCGCGUGCGGGAUGACGGCCUUCGGGUUGUAAACCGCUUUCGCCUGUGACGAAGCGUGAGUGACGGUAAUGGGUAAAGAAGCACCGGCUAACUACGUG
rnacentral:rRNA from 1 species